rnacentral:rRNA from 1 species
UACGUAGGGUGCAAGCGUUAAUCGGAAUUACUGGGCGUAAAGCGUGCGCAGGCGGUUGUGCAAGACAGACGUGAAAUCCCCGGGCUCAACCUGGGAACUGCAUUUGUGACUGCAUGGCUAGAGUGCGGCAGAGGGGGAUGGAAUUCCGCGUGUAGCAGUGAAAUGCGUAGAUAUGCGGAGGAACACCGAUGGCGAAGGCAAUCCCCUGGGCCUGCACUGACGCUCAUGCACGAAAGCGUGGGGAGCAAACAGG